UUGGAUCAGCGGCUCCAAGUAGGAGUCCAUGUCCGUCGAGUCGAGGGCUACUGCUUUGGAGACUACUAUAAGGAGCUUCACCGACAAUUGUGGAGAUUAGGUGAUAAGGCAAAAACUGGGUGCUAGCUUUGAUACGUUCUGAGAGGCUUAUGAUUUAUAUAAUCUUUAAUCUUGGGAAAAUGGCUUUGUAUAACAUAUGGGAAGAACAGAUUAAAUGUCGAGAGGAAGAAAUGCAUGUAGAAAAUUAUUUGAGGUUGCGUGGGGAAGCAGGGUUAGAGAAUACACAAUCAUGCCAGUGUGAAUGCCCUGCAUUGAUCCGAUUGCUUAGGUUAGAGGACAAUGGUUGGUAAAUAGCUAAGCACAGGGAGAAACACAAUCAUUCACUGUCUCCAAAUUGUUGGGUAACAGUUCACUGGCCGUCCCACAAACACAAAGAUGUUGACAACAUAAUUAGGAGAUUUUUUGGUUAAAUGGAAAAAGUCCCCUUUAUUAAGCGAUCGUUGAGAGCAUUGUGCGGGAAUUUGGAUUGUGAACAAGCGGAUGAUGAUGUGAGGAAACCGAUGGAAUUAUCUAACAAGUUGGGUCUUGGGUGCCAGCAAUCCGCAGUUCGCAUAUCGAGUCCAAGCUGAUGGGGAAGACCGAAUAAAAUGUCUGAUGUGGAUGAAUGGUAGCAGCCAUUGGCAACAGGCAUCUGAGCUGUUUACAUGCGAGAUGAACCCUAGAGCUCUUGGCUGGACACAACGGGUAACGAUUGGUGCGGCCGCGUCAAGGAGGACACCUUGUCCUAAUCGCCCAAGUGCAUAGGAGAAGGCAAUUCACGGGUUUGAUAAGAAUCCAAGGGAGAAUGUGAUUGUACUGAAACUGGGGAUAAGCUUUGAUCUUUAGGUGAAGCAUACGACUUCUACAACUUGUACUCCUGGGAGAAGGUGUUUGGUAUUACAUAUUGGAAAAGCAGACUAAAUGUUUAGAGGACAAAAUGCAGGCAGGAAAUCAUUUGCAGCUAUGCGGGAAAGGCUGGUGUUGAGAACAGUAGGUCAUGCCAUUGUGAGUGUCCGGCUCUUAUACGAUUGUUGCGAUCGGAAGGCAAUGGUUGGUGCAUAUCAGAGCAUUGGGAGGAACACAGCCAAUCUUUAUCUCUUAAUUGCGGAGAGACAAUACACUGCCUUCACACAAAGACAUCGACGUUUACAACCGAGACUUGGUGAAGCAGCUACAACAAAAAAAUGUCAAUCUAGCCAAGGUAAUACAACAUCAUAAUUAGUUUUUUGACCAACCAAGCUCUCCAUAAUCCAUAAUUUGUGUGGAAAAUAAGCCAUGAGCUGGCAUAGGAUGAUGUGAGCAAGACUAUGAAGGUUUUCACUGAACUGGGUGCAAAGGAUCCACAUUUCACUUAUCUUGUGCAUGCUGAUAAGGAAGGGCGAAUCAAAAAAAAAUGUGGGCGAAUGGGAGCAGUAGAUUGUAGUAAAUUUUUUGAGGAGAACACAACAAAUUCAAAAUUUUAACACCAAGGGCAGGAGGUUUUCCCAAGUUGUGUAUAAGCAGGAGUUGAGGGGCAGACUUGGUUUCAGUCAUCCAGGUGAAGGUGUAGUUGGAGUAAGAUCAAGUUUCAGUGGGAGGGGAAAUAGAGUGAAUGGCUUCGACCAAGUUAUCUGGUGCCUUCUCUGCCUUCAGAGUAUACUCGACUGAUUAUAGAUGAUUCUAAUGAACAGCUGUAAGUUCAGAGCAUUAGCUCGGUUCAUGUGUAUUGUAUUGAUAUUUUGUAACCUGAAAGUGACGUGACGGUGUUGGAAGCGGACGCGUCAGAAUCAUUUGUG